AUUGAACGCUGGCGGCAGGCUUAACACAUGCAAGUCGAGCGAGCGGCGGACGGGUGAGUAAUUUCUGGGAAACUGCCUGAUGGAGGGGGCUAACUACUGGAACCGGUAGCUAAUACCGCAUACCAUCAGAUGUGCCCAGAUGGGAUUAGCUAGUCUGUGGGGUAAUGGCUCACCUAGGCGACGAUCCCUAUCUGGUCUGAGAGGAUGACCAGCCACACGGGAACAGAGACAAGGUCCAGACGCGUAAGGGAGGCAGCAGUGGGGAAUAUUGCACAUGGGGAGCAAGCCUGAUGCAGCCAUGCCGCGUGUGUGAAGAAGGCCGUCGGGUUGUAAAGCACUUUCAGCGAGGAGGCGUUACUCGCAGAAGAAGCACCGGCUAACUCCGUGCCAGCAGCCGCGGAAAUUC
rnacentral:rRNA from 1 species